AGAGUUUGAUCCUGGCUCAGAAUGAACGCUGGCGGCGUGCCUAACACAUGCAAGUCGAACGAGAAAUUUCCGCUUCGGUGGAAAAAGUAAAGUGGCGCACGGGUGAGUAACGCGUGGGUAACCUGCCUUUGAAUCUGGGAUAACCCCGUGAAAACGGGACUAAUACUGGAUAAUGUCCCUUUGGCUGUGGCCUUAGGGAUGAAAGGUGACCUCUUCAUGAAAGUUGCCGUUCAAAGAGGGGCCCGCGUACCAUUAGCUUGUUGGUGGGGUAACGGCCUACCAAGGCUACGAUGGUUAGCUGGUCUGAGAGGAUGAUCAGCCACACUGGAACUGGAACACGGUCCAGACUCCUACGGGAGGCAGCAGUGAGGAAUUUUGCGCAAUGGGGGAAACCCUGACGCAGCAACGCCGCGUGAGUGAUGAAGAUUUUCGGAUCGUAAAGCUCUGUCAAGCGGGAAAAAAUUCUUUCGGUUAAUAGCCGGAAGAACUGAUGGUACCGCUGGAGGAAGCACCGGCUAACUCCGUGCCAGCAGCCGCGGUAAUACGGGUGCAAGCGUUGUUCGGAUUUACUGGGCGUAAAGAGCGUGUAGGUGGUUUAACAAGUCAGAUGUGAAAGCCCUGGGCUCAACUCAGGAAGUGCAUUUGAAACUGUUUUUCUAGAGUAUGGGAGAGGAGAGUGGAAUUCCCAGUGUAGAGGUGAAAUUCGUAGAUAUUGGGAGGAACACCGGUGGCGAAGGCGACUCUCUGGACCAAUACUGACACUGAGACGCGAAAGCGUGGGGAGCAAACAGGAUUAGAUACCCUGGUAGUCCACGCCGUAAACGAUGAGAACUAGGUGUAGCGGGUAUUGACCCCUGCUGUGCCGCAGCUAACGCAUUAAGUUCUCCGCCUGGGGAGUACGGCCGCAAGGCUAAAACUCAAAGGAAUUGACGGGGGCCCGCACAAGCGGUGGAGCAUGUGGUUUAAUUCGACGCAACGCGAAGAACCUUACCUGGAUUUGACAUCCUCUUGCCACCCUGGAAACAGGGUUUAUCCGACUUGUCGGAAGAGAGUGACAGGUGCUGCAUGGCUGUCGUCAGCUCGUGUCGUGAGAUGUUGGGUUAAGUCCCGCAACGAGCGCAACCCUUGUCUCUAGUUGCCAGUAUUAAGUUAGGGACUCUAGAGAGACUGCCUCGGUUAACGGGGAGGAAGGUGGGGAUGACGUCAAGUCCUCAUGGCCUUUAUAUCCAGGGCUACACACGUGCUACAAUGGGCUGUACAAAGGGUAGCUAACUCGCGAGAGUACGCCAAUCCCAAAAAGCAGUUCUCAGUUCGGAUUGGAGUCUGCAACUCGACUCCAUGAAGUUGGAAUCGCUAGUAAUCGUGGAUCAGCAUGCCACGGUGAAUACGUUCCCGGGCCUUGUACACACCGCCCGUCACACCACGAAAGUCGACUGUACCAGAAGUUGCUGGGCUAACCCUUCGGGGAGGCAGGUACCUAAGGUACGGCCGGUAAUUGGGGUGAAGUCGUAACAAGGUA
rnacentral:rRNA from 1 species